GACGAACGCUGGCGGCGUGCCUAAUACAUGCAAGUUGAGCGCUGAAGGUUGGUACUUGUCCCAACUGGAUGAGCAGCGAACGGGUGAGUAACGCGUGGGGAAUCUGCCUUUGAGCGGGGGACAACAUUUGGAAACGAAUGCUAAUACCGCAUAAAAACUUUAAACACAAGUUUUAAGUUUGAAAGAUGCCAUUGCAUCACUCAAAGAUGAUCCCGCGUUGUAUUAGCUAGUUGGUGAGGUAAAGGCUCACCAAGGCGAUGAUACAUAGCCGACCUGAGAGGGUGAGCGGCCACAUUGGGACUGAGACACGGCCCAAACGCAUACGGGAGGCAGCAGGAGGGAAUCUUCGGCAAGGGACGAAAGUCUGAGCGAGCAACGCCGCGGGAGUGAAGAAGGAUGUCGGAUCGGAAAACUCUGUUGGUAGAGAAGAACGGUGGUGAGAGUGGAAAGAUCAUCAAGUGACGGUAACUACUCAGAAAGGGACGGCUAACUACGUG
rnacentral:rRNA from 1 species